CUUGAAAUUAUGUUAUAAUGUUGCUUAUAUUAUUAUUCUGAUUCUAGGCUGCAGAGGAGUUCUCAUCCAGGCUGCAUAUGAUGUUCUGAGUGGUCCGCAGGAGAGAGCCUGGGUUUUUACACCUUAUACAGGAAUGUGUUUGAGACUAUCGCACAAGAGGAGAUGGAGCACUGUAAAAAUGAGGAGCAGUUUCCCUCAUUUGGAGAGUCUCAUAGUGACUAUGACACUGUAUG